AGGUAAUAAAUGUGUCCAAUUGAGUUACUGCAAUUAGACUGAUAAACGAAUCAUAUCAAUGAAGUUAAUGUCAGUUUUGUUCUUAUUUUUACCAACAGGUGACAACAGCGAUAGCAAAGAAGUGGCGUCAGUGUCAUAUUAGCAAAAAAAAGCCUUGGCAGUCGUGCUCGGCAGUCACAACUGUAUCGAGACGCGAGCGAGAGUAUGAGCAGAAGAAAGGGAAUAAUUUCCACACGGAAGUGAGUCUACCAGGGGUAAUCAGUUUGUUAUAGCGAAUGCCAAGGGGAUCAAAUCGCCAGUUGAUUGUAAAUUCGACACAGGUUUAUACAUUUUGAGCGCUGCCCUCCCGUUUCCCCCCCACAAAUUGAGCAGAUCAUCAGUGGUGCAUGAGAUGGGCGGAGCUCAGGCUUGGAGACUUUUAUCAGAUGCAUCAUUCGAAAAGUGGAGCCCGUGGAAGAAAAGAGAAACAUAUGCAGAAGGACGUUCUCCCUCUCCAAAACCUUCAAAACAUCCAACUUUGACCUAUCAAACUAUAUGUUAAUAAUUCUUUUUCGAUUCUAAACUUGUCAAAAUUACUCACACAGUAUUAGUGCCAAUCUGUCAGCUGCGUCUACCACAGGAACGUUGUUUGGUUGUUGCAUCCGAAAAGAUAAAUUGUUCCCACAUGAAGGAUAAAUUUCUCCUCCACAAAGGAAAUUCUCACUAAAAUCUGCCGAUCUCCACCACCACGACUAUAACAAUUUAGUUGAGGUCUUGCUACAGGAUCAAAGUCCCGAACCAAUUAUCAUCAAAGUGUCGGGAGUCAUCAUUCUUAAAAUCAUUACUUUGCUUCAUUUUAAAUGAAAAAGUGGCAGAAAUGUUUUGUGCGGCAGGAAAUGAUGAAUGGGGGCACUCCAUUCUGAUCAAAAUUUGACAGCCUGUCCAUUUUCGAUCAAAGAGGACUGUUGCAUAGUGACCAUCAGUCAUCAACUGGUCUGUUUUGAUCAGAAUUGGUUCGGAAUUUGGUCUCGUAUCCAGACCAUUACGACAGCAGGUUAACUUCUGUUGUCAAAACUGAAAUAUUACUAAGUGAGUAAGUCUUUAUUUUGACGAAGAACAAUCUCCUUUGGUGCAAUGAUAGUUUAAAUGUGAAUUUCAGUUUUCUCCUUCGGUACACGCUAGGAAAGAAUGAUAAUGUCUUUUCAAACGUCAUCAGUCUUCAAAGUUAAAAAUAUCGAAUAAUGUAUGCAAACAUUUGAAGAACUUUUUGGAUGGCGUUAUCCACUCGGUAUUUCAAAAUGCAUUAUCUUCCUUGGCGUUUGAAUAGAUCUCGUAAUUUUUUCUCAAAUCAUAAAUUCACUAAUAACCGUUGAACUUUAGAUUGAGUUAAACAUACAAAUUUAGACUCAUUAUGCAGGAAACAAAAACUAUCUUUUUGGGUGCAUUUAAAGUACGGAACAUGUUUGUAAACCGUAUUAGAGAAUUAAUAUACAUCUUCUCGGAUCAAAUUUUUUAAAUAGAUUUUUAAAAUGAUGUAAAAUACACUUCUUCCAUCGCAAUCGAUAAGCCUAACUAAAAGUUAUACCGCAGAGAAACCGAAGAAUGUGUGACUUAAAAGUACAAACUGUGAAUGUAUGAAAUUAAUACGUGUAAAUUGAAUACCACAUCGUGGGUCAUGCCAAUCAACAAUGAAUCUUGCAUCACCACCUGUAUCCAUAGCUUUGUCCAGCUCUCUUUUUUCUCAUCCGUUUCCUAAGUAUUUAUUGGUGUUACUUGUAAGUCUUUUCGUGAUAUUUUCUAUCUUCAUUUCGCGUUGUUUUGAAAUAUAAUUUUUAAUAAAAUUCAAAAUAAAAACUGAUGUUUUUUUUUGUAAAUUUUUGUUCGGCAAUCGUUCUCUCUACGAAGAAAAAUCGAGAUUUAUGGAGUUGACUUCAUGAUUUCAGAAAACAAAUUUCAAAGGUUUGAAAUUUGAUUGAAUUUUGAAAUUUGAUUUUUGAUUCGAAAAGCUCCGACUGACUUUCUGAUUGUUGGCACAUGAGAUAAAACUAGGAUCUUGCGUGUGGGAGGGAACAUACCUAAUUAAACCGCGAUUAAAUUAGACCGAUACAGGCUCUCAGCAGCUCAUUAUCUCACCAGCACGAAAAUCCAUAUUCAUUUUGGUGCCGGUGGAAGCUGCAUUUGGAGCAGCAUAAAAGUAAUUUAAUCACGAUUCGACUUCUCACUCAAUACGGUGUCCCGAUUUCUAUGCACAGCAUGCAAUUUAAGCUCUAAAAUUCUACAUCAAACCUCCGAAUGAAUUAAUGGCAAAAGCGAAUAUUUUGAAAGUGGUUGACUUUUUUGAAGUCUGAAAUAAACGGAUAGUAAACUUGACCAACAAAUUUCAUUUGAAUCUUGACCAAUUUUGGGUCAAUACAUUAUAUUGUUUAUUAAUUAACAUUCGUGUAUUUUUCUCGCAACUAGUAUAGGUAAAUAUGCAACUUGGUACUUUUCUUUCCGAAAUUUUAUACUUAUUUAAAUUUGAGUUAUCAUCAUUCCUCAAAACUUCGUAAAUUCAUUUAACUAUAAAGAUACCCUGGUUUUAUCCACUAAAAAUCGUAUUGCAAAUCGACGAUGUAAAUCCACAACAACGUAUCUCGUUUGCGGUGUUUGAAAAUCUCUGCUUCUAUUUUAUUUUAUUAAAUUAGAACAAAUCGACAUAAUUCCUUGAAGUUUUCGCAGAAUUUAAUUCGCAGAGAGAAUAAAAAUCACGGCAGUUUUUAAGAAUUGCCGUUGAGUAGUUUUCCAUUUAAAAUAAAAUAUGAAAGGAAGUCUGCAAUAUCGUAAACCAAGAUACGUGGUUGCAGACUUACACCGUCGAAAUAUGUUGGUUGCGUUCCUCAGAAUGAAUAAGUAUGAGAAAUUGUAAAACUUCGCAAACGUGGCAUAUAUUUUGUUAAGCUUCGAACAUAAAUCUACAGUAUUUCGUACUUUUAAAUACAUGUAACGACAUAUUUAUAUCAAUACAAAAAUUAAAGAAGAAAAUUGGAGUUUUCAAAGAAAUCGCACUAAACUAAUAGGGUAAUGUAGCAAAAGUUGUCAAGUUUUAAGAAAAUAGAAAGUAAACUAUGAGGCAGAUCAAAAGGAUAAGGAGUUGAAAAUGGCGAAAGUGAAUGAUCGAUUAUCGAUUAUCGAUCCUUUUCCUUGCGUUUAAAUGACAGAUCAAUCGAUUUAUCGCAAAACACGCCACGCCACUCGAUAGGAAGUAUUCAUCAAUUAAACUACUGAAUACUCAUUGCAAUCCAAAGAGGAUAUGUACAGAAAAGUAAUUUAUUGUGUAUAGCUGAUCAGUUCUUUCAAUGAGAAGAUUAUCAGCAUAAAAGCUCAUCACAGGAUCAACUUCAUCUCAUGGCAGCAUGUAAGCCAGUUUCAAUCAAGAACUAAGUUGUAUACUUUAAAGUUUUAUUGGUCAUCGGCCAUUCAUAUACAUUAUACAGGGAUCAUUAAAAAAUGGACCAUGUUAAACAAAGAGGAACUGAGCCACAUCAUUCAUUAACGAAAUAUAUUAGACGAUUCAUUUUUCUAAUGGGAGAACGGUAGUGUAUAUCACUUUAGAUUUUUAGGGGAUUUCCUCCAUAAGAUGUGAAACAAAUUCAUAAAUUUAAAAUUUUCAUAAGAAUCUGUUCAACCGUUUAAACUGCUGUUCGUUAACCCUUAGGUGCCCAAGACUUGUUUGAUACGCAAAGUCCUAAGUUGCGGUAACAUACUGACGCUUCCUCACCCUCUUCUUCUCAUCCACCAUUAUAGUAGUUCCCUCAAAAGAGAAAGACGGGUCAGUUAGUUGAGCUUGCUGUGGCUUUCUAGAGGUCGUUGUAAAAUCAAACUACCCUGACACGAUACAACUUUCGCCAAAAUAUCGAUUUUUAGACGUACACACUUUAGAGCGCCUAAGAGACUUCAAAAAAAAUUCUUUUUUUUUCAAAAAAUGAUUUUUUCAUAUGGACACAUUAUAGCAUGUAUAGAGCAAAAUUAGCCUAAAAUUUCCUCAUAUAUCAAAAAU
rnacentral:lncRNA from 1 species